rnacentral:misc_RNA from 1 species
AACCUUAUGGACCUGCGGGCGUAUACCUGCGGAGGGAUCAUUACUGAGACUUUAUCUCUACCCUUGUGAACUUACCUAGUGUUGCUUCGGCAGGUUUUCCCUGGGAGGGAAUUGGCCUUUGGGCAGCCUGCCAGAGGCAUUUAACUCUGAUUUUUAUGAAUUCUGAGUAUUUUUCAAUAAGAAAAAACUUUCAACAAUGGAUCU